CCUGCACACAGUUGGAGCUUGGAGCUGAGGCCAGCUGCUGGCCGAGGAACUCUCAAGUGUAGGACGUGUGCUAUAGUAACCUGGCAGAGUGUUUUGUUGGCACCACGAGGGCCUUCUGGCCCAAGGAGUGGAGGUUCAUAAUCAUUCUUGCCACAGUU